UCGAACGCUUUUUCUUUCACCGGAGGUUGCUCCACCGAAAGAAAAAGAGUGGCGAACGGGUGAGUAACACGUGGGUAACCUGCCCAUCAGAAGGGGAUAACACUUGGAAACAGGUGCUAAUACCGUAUAACACUAUUUUCCGCAUGGAAGAAAGUUGAAAGGCGCUUUUGCGUCACUGAUGGAUGGACCCGCGGUGCAUUAGCUAGUUGGUGAGGUAACGGCUCACCAAGGCAACGAUGCAUAGCCGACCUGAGAGGGUGAUCGGCCACACUGGGACUGAGACACGGCCCAGACUCCUACGGGAGGCAGCAGUAGGGAAUCUUCGGCAAUGGACGAAAGUCUGACCGAGCAACGCCGCGUGAGUGAAGAAGGUUUUCGGAUCGUAAAACUCUGUUGUUAGAGAAGAACAAGGAUGAGAGUAAAAUGUUCAUCCCUUGACGGUAUCUAACCAGAAAGCCACGGCUAACUACGUGCCAGCAGCC
rnacentral:rRNA from 1 species